CCUACGGGUGGCUGCAGUGGGGAAUAUUGCACAAUGGGGGAAACCCUGAUGCAGCGACGCCGCGUGAAGGAAGACGUAUUUCUGUAUUUAAACUUCUAUCAGCCGGGAAGAAAAUGACGCUACCUGACUAAGAACCCCCGGCUAAAUACGAGCCAGCAGCCGCGGUGACCCGUAGGGGGCCAGCGUUAUCCGGAUUUACUGGGUGUAAAGGGAGCGUAGGCGGUUUAGCAAGUCAGCAGUGAAAGCCCGGGGCGCAAAGCCGGGACUGCUUUUGAAACUGGUGAACUAGAUUGCAGGAGAGGUAAGUGGAAUUCCUAGUGUAGCGGUGAAAUGCGUAGAUAUUAGGCGGAACACCAGUGGCGAAGGCGGCUUACUGGACUGUAAAUGACGCUGAGGCUCGAAAGCGUGGGGAGCAAACAGGAUUAGAUACCCUGGUAGUC
rnacentral:rRNA from 1 species